UAGGAAGUGGUGUAGUGGAAGCACUUAGAGUUUUGAUCUCUUCGGAGAGGGUUCAAAUCCCUUCUUUCUAA
rnacentral:tRNA from 1 species